rnacentral:rRNA from 1 species
UCCGACUGCUAUCCGGGUAAGACUAAGCCAUGCAAGUCGAAUGGAACAGCUUGUUCCAUGGCGAACUGCUCAGUAACAAGUAAUCAACUUACCCUUCAGUGAAGAAUAACCUCGGGAAACUGAGGCUAAUACUUCAUAGUUGGAAAUUCCUGGAAUGGUUUUCCAUCGAAAGAUAUUUCUAAAUGCGGAAAAUUCGCUGAAGGAUAGGAUCGCUUUCGAUUACGGUUGUUGGUGAGGUAAUGGCUCACCAAGCCUAUGAUCGAUAAGGGCCGUGAGAGCGGUAGCCCUGAGAUGGAUACUGAGACAAUGAUCCAGGCCUUACGAGGCGCAGCAGGCGCGAAACCUUUACAAUGCACGAAAGUGUGAUAAGGUUACCCGGAGUGCCAAAAUUAAAUUUUGGCUGUUAUAGGUGUGUAAAUAACCCUAUGAGAACGGAGAGGGCAAGGCUGGUGCCAGCCGCCGCGGUAAAACCAGCUCUUCAAGUGGUCGGGAAUAUUAUUGGGCUUAAAGUGUCCGUAGCCGGUUUGGUAAGUUCCUGGUUAAAUCUGGCAGCUUAACUGUCAGUCAGCUAGGAAUACUACUUUACUAGAGGGUGGGAAAGGUUUGAGGUACUCCAGGGGUAGCGGUGAAAUGCGAUAAUCCUUGGGGGACCACCAGUGGCGAAGGCGUCAGACUGGAACACGCCUGACGGUGAGGGACGAAAGCCAGGGGAGCGAACGGGAUUAGAUACCCCGGUAGUCCUGGCCGUAAACGAUGCGUGCUAGGUGUUGGUAGGGCUUUGAGCUGUAUCAGUGCCGUAGGGAAACUGUUAAGCGCGCCGCCUGGGAAGUACGCUCGCAAGGGUGAAACUUAA